UGAGGAAUAUUGGUCAAUGGGCGAGAGCCUGAACCAGCCAAGUAGCGUGAAGGAUGAAGGCUCUAUGGGUCGUAAACUUCUUUUAUAUGGGAAUAAAGUAUUCCACGUGUGGAAUUUUGUAUGUACCAUAUGAAUAAGGAUCGGCUAACUCCGUGCCAGCAGCCGCGGUAAUACGGAGGAUCCGAGCGUUAUCCGGAUUUAUUGGGUUUAAAGGGAGCGUAGGUGGAUUGUUAAGUCAGUUGUGAAAGUUUGCGGCUCAACCGUAAAAUUGCAGUUGAAACUGGCAGUCUUGAGUACAGUAGAGGUGGGCGGAAUUCGUGGUGUAGCGGUGAAAUGCUUAGAUAUCACGAAGAACUCCGAUUGCGAAGGCAGCUCACUAGACUGUUACUGACACUGAUGCUCGAAAGUGUGGGUAUCAAACAGG
rnacentral:rRNA from 1 species